rnacentral:rRNA from 1 species
CACGUAGGGCGCAAGCGUUGUCCGGAAUUAUUGGGCGUAAAGAGCUCGUAGGCGGUCUGUUGCGUCCGCUGUGAAAACUCGGGGCUUAACCCCGAGCCUGCAGUGGAUACGGGCAGACUAGAGGUAGGUAGGGGAGAAUGGAAUUCCCGGUGUAGCGGUGAAAUGCGCAGAUAUCGGGAGGAACACCGGUGGCGGAAGGCGGUUCUCUGGGCCUUACCUGACGCUGAGGAGCGAAAGCGUGGGGAGCGAACAGGAUUGAGGA